GGCGGGCAGCCGGCGCGGGACGCGGCGCAGCAGCUCGGGCCAGGUGGCGGCGGUGUCGUCCACGCCGUCCGGUUCCAGGAACCGGAGCCGGCCC
rnacentral:tRNA from 1 species